CCUGGAGGAGGGAGGGGGGCGCACGCCCCGCCCAGGCGCACGCGCACCGCCCCGCUCUCCGCCUCGGCCGGGGGUUUCUCUCUCCAGUUCCCGCCCCGGCCCGCUGCCGGGAGGAGGCGCCCGCCGCUCUCGGUGCCUCCGAUGGACAGAUACGUGGUGAAACGUCCCGCCAGGGAGGCGGGAGGUGGCGGUGGGAAGAGGCCGCGGCCGGAGGAGCCCGCCUCAGGGGAACCCGCCGCAGGGGAACCCGCCUGGCAGGAGAUUCGCGCUGAGGGCCUGAACUGCGACUACCGGCUCCUCUUCGGCAGGGCCGAGGCUGAUGAGAUCUUCCAGCAGCUGGAAGAAGAGGUGGAGUACUUCGAAGGUGAAAUGACAAAAUUACACGUGUUUGGCAAAUGGCACAAUAUUCCAAGGAAGCAAGUAACCUAUGGAGACCCUGAGUUAACAUACACUUACUCAGGCGUUACCUUUUCGCCUAAGCCUUGGAUCCCCGUUCUCAGCCGUAUCAGAGACCGCAUCACUUUGGACACAGGAUAUACUUUUAACUUUGUUCUGAUUAACAGAUAUAAAGAUGGAGGGGACCACAUAGGUGAACAUCGAGAUGAUGAAAGGGAACUGGUUCCACGCAGUCCUAUUGCAUCCGUGUCCUUCGGAGCUUGCAGGGACUUUGUUUUCAGGCACUGUGAUUCCAGGGGGAAGAACGCAACACGCCACAUGAAGCCCAUCAAGCUGCAGCUUGCCCAUGGCAGCCUGCUGAUGAUGAAGUACCCCACCAACGUGUACUGGUACCACAGCCUGCCCAUCCGCAAGAAAGUACUCGCCCCAAGAAUCAACCUCACAUUUCGGAAAGUGAUGACUCUAGCCAAGAAGUGAAGUAUUCAGCAAUUAAGCAGCAGGUCUUUUGACUCUGAAAAUAGCAGCUUUCUUCCCUGACAUAACUCAAUUUCUCAUUCAAACGCUGUCUUUGAUGAUCCAGGGUACCAGAUGAGCAAAUUAAACCAAGAGAGGAGAUAGUGUACUUGGUAACUUGUUAAUAAAGACUGUGACUACUGAUCUUAAAUGCCAGGAAUACUUUGCCUCCGUGAACUGUUGCUGUAGUCCUGCUGAUACAUAUUUUUAAUGAGUAAUAUCCUUGUUUUGCUCAGGAGGAAGUUUCUUCCCAGCUGAUCUUACUCUAUCCAGUUUUCCAAAAAAGAUCAAGAUACCUUAUAUCUUUGAGAUAGCACAAAAAUUGUUUAGAAAUACUAUGAACUACAAGACGUAAUCAUUUAGAGGGGAGCCUCGAAGCUGACACUGUUCAACAGGGAUUCCAUUUGGACUCCCCAAAAGCCAUCACCUUCUGUGCUGACAGUGAACCCUGCAGACAUGAGGAACAACCGUCCAAAGUCACCAAUGGGUCUUGGGGAAUCAAGCAGGGGUCUUGGGAAGCAGUUCAGCAGCAAGAAAGUGCCGCUAGUCCCAACGUAAUUGUGUGUGUCCAACGUAACGAGGAUGCUGGGGUUGCUGUACAGCUCAGCUCACAAUCACGACCGGUACAAGCUCUAAAGCUCGACUGUAAGCUCAAGUGUUGGAAUGGCUGAUGAGAAAUGGUAGUUUUCAGCAUUAAAAUAGGAAGGGCGAGUCUAGAACACAAAUAACAGUAGCCUUGAAAUCACAGCAUUAAAAGUUGUAGUCGAUCCUACAAGCAACCAUACUCAACAGUUUCAUAGUGACAAAGGAAAUGACAAUACUGAUUGGGAGGCAAACACUUCUGGCUCUUCAUUUCAGAUCUGUUCCAAAGACAGAGCAAUAAAUUGGGGUCUCGGCUCUUAAUAGAUAAAAAAAGGAAACCACUUUGAAUCAGCAGAAGUACUUUUGUGAUGUAUAAAGAACUAAAAUAUUAGGGAAAAUAUCAGGGAAAUCAUGUGAACAGGGAAGUUGUUUUUUGGAUCGUGCAUGCAGAGAAGCCUUAUUUGUUGAUUAGCUGGGAUACCAAGAGAAAUCCGAUUCUGUUAGUAGUUCAUCCCAUCAUCUUGAGGCAUUUAUCAGAACGUAAUGGACACACAGUGAACUCAGACAAUGGUGAUGUAGCUCUCUGAAUAAGCUCAAGGCACUUUGUUUCUUAAAUCAUUGCCUUUGAUAACAGCAGCUUCCCAGUGACUGCUUCUAGGGCUCCCCUGUUCAGAAAGGUCUGCAGUGAAAUGCGUAUAAAGCAUCUCCCUUUGAAAAUUUAUGUAUGCAUCAGAAUAUGGAAAAUACCCUUAGGAAGUCUGUGUGAAAAGUCUGUUUCAGAGCCGUGAUGUUGACAACAUUACUACUUAACAGAAUGAACGCUCCUUUAAUGCAGAUAUACUUCGGACUGCACAACGUUAGCAGACCAACUUUGGGCAGCGUAAUUUUGGUACAAAACACUCCCAGCAGGAGCCAGCCAUUGCCAGAGGGAGGGGGACGUUAAAGGGCCUGUGGUGGGUUACUUGCAUAAUGGACAGGAGGUGCAACGUAGAUCUCAUUAGAGGAAUUUUGUCAGUUUUUGUCCUUCUUCUGCUCUCAUCAUCACUCUUCAGCCCUCAGCUCCAAGCUUUGGUGCUGCGCCCUUGAGUGAACACGCUCGUAGAAAAGCAAGUAAGCGCUAGAAGAAAGGACCUCCUGCAAGCUGGCUUUGCGAACGGUGUCAUCCGAAAUCCACAGCCACUGGCUGCUGACGGCCAGCGGGUGCUUCGCAGAAGGCGGCGAGCGGCGGUACGUUACAAAGUGUCCCGAGUGCAUGUCUCCGUGGUGAACCACGACUGCCAUCAGACGGUAGAGGUACACGGGGGAACUGGAGGACAAAUGAGAAGGGAGAGGGUCAGCAGCCCUUGGGGAUCGCAUGUCCCAGAAACAGCCCCACUUGCUCCAUCUUCAGCUGCAAUUUAUUUUUAAAGCAGCUACUAUGCAGCCUCAUAAUAAAGACAGAAUAAAGCAAGACAUAAUUUGAAGGGACAGAAAUUCCAUGGUAGGGUACAAAACUUACCUGUACUCAGGGAAUGCAGCAAGUGGGAAAGUUCCCGAGGACGUUAAAAAUGAAGAGGAGCAGGCACCAUUCAUGAAGAGUGGCUUAGGACCAGACGGCUGUUCUGCAUCUGCAAGAGGAAGCAGACAUUCAGUAAUUUAACUCAAAUGCUAAUGACAGAGCUUCUGUUCCAGCAGUACCUUUCAUCACAGAAUUGGAAGGUAUUUUCCUUAUUUUAAUUCAUUAUAUAUCACAAUCACUUAAGAGAUGCAGAGGAGUAUAAUAUCCAAAGACAGUAGUAAUUGCUUUUACAUGACACAAAUUUGAAAAGGACUGUGUUUACAAAAUCCCAACUAAAUAGAAUAUUGAGCUGCCUAAAUGACAGACCCACUACAGCUACUUUUUCUGACCGGUUUUUAAGAAGACACCAUUCCCACAUUCUUUUCAUGCUUGCCCUGAAGCCUUAGAAGAGAUCACGAACAAGAUAAUCCCCAGGACUUCCCAAGUUCAACAUUCCUGCAUCCUUUGGACAUAAAAUGUGCGAGUUCUAUGCUAUCUGGGACUUGUUUGUUUGUAAGCUUUUUUUUUUUUUAAAUAUUUAGUAGGAUCAAAUGGAACUAUUAAAAGUGAACUGUAAACUUGGACCAGGGUGUCCUAAUGCUUGCUGCAAAAGGGGUUUCUACCCGUCUUUUUUGCGCAGAUUCACAUACAGAUACAGCUCUUAUGUUUAUUCUGUGAUUAGAAUGUUUUAUCAUUGAAACAUAGAAAUGAUGAAUAAAUUUUAUUUUCAAAAUAA